GUGUCAGCAGCCGCGGUAAGACGAACCGUGCGAACGUUAUUCGGAAUCACUGGGCUUAAAGCGCGUGUAGGCGGGUGGGAACGUCGGCCACUGAAAGCCCCCGGCUCAACCGGGGAAGGGGUGCCGAGACGGCCCGCCUGGAGGGGCGUAGGGGGACCUGGAACUUCCGGUGGAGCGGUGAAAUGCGUUGAGAUCGGAAGGAACGCCCGUGGCGAAAGCGAGGUCCUGGACGCCAUCUGACGCUGAGACGCGAAAGCCAGGGGAGCGAACGGGAUUAGAUACCCCUGUAGUCC
rnacentral:rRNA from 1 species